AUUGAACGCUGGCGGCAGGCCUAACACAUGCAAGUCGAGCGAGCGGCGGACGGGUGAGUAAUGUCUGGGAAACUGCCUGAUGGAGGGGGAUAACUACUGGAAACGGUAGCUAAUACCGCAUACCAUCAGAUGUGCCCAGAUGGGAUUAGCUAGUAGGUGGGGUAAUGGCUCACCUAGGCGACGAUCCCUAGCUGGUCUGAGAGGAUGACCAGCCACACUGUGACUUAGACACGGUCCCAACUCCUCCGGGAGGCAGCAUUGGGUAAUAUUGAACAAUGGGCGCAAGCCUGAUGCAGCCAUGCCGCGUGUGUGAAGAAGGCCUUCGGGUUGUAAAGCACUUUCAGCGGGGAGGCGUUACCCGCAGAAGAAGCACCAGCUAACUCCGUGCCAGCAGCCGCGGUAAUAC
rnacentral:rRNA from 1 species